rnacentral:rRNA from 1 species
GCAGCAGCCGCGGGAAUACGUAGGGUGCAAGCGUUAAUCGGAAUUACUGGGCGUAAAGCGUGCGCAGGCGGUUAUAUAAGACAGAUGUGAAAUCCCCGGGCUCAACCUGGGAACUGCAUUUGUGACUGUAUAGCUAGAGUACGGCAGAGGGGGAUGGAAUUCCGCGUGUAGCAGUGAAAUGCGUAGAUAUGCGGAGGAACACCGAUGGCGAAGGCAAUCCCCUGGGCCUGUACUGACGCUCAUGCACGAAAGCGUGGGGAGCAAACAGGAUUAGAUACCCGGGUAGUCCCUGUCUCUUAUAC